AGUCUAAGGAGAAAGUUCCUUCGGGAGCGAGUAAACUGGCGAACGGGUGAGUAACGCGUAGGUAACCUACCCUUUAAGUCUGGGAUAACCCACCGAAAGGUGAGCUAAUACCGGAUAAAAUCACUUCUCAUCAGAGGUAGUGAUUAAAGAAGGCUUCGGCUUUUACUUUUGGAUGGGCUUGCGUCUGAUUAGUUUGUUGGUGAGGUAACGGCUCACCAAGGCAGCGAUCAGUAGCUGGUCUGAGAGGACGAUCAGCCACAUUGGGACUGAGAUACGGCCCAGACUCCUACGGGAGGCAGCAGUGGGGAAUUUUGCGCAAUGAGCGAAAGCUUGACGCAGCAACGCCGCGUGAUCGAAGAAGCUCUGCGGAGUGUAAAGAUCUGUCAUAGGGGAAGAAAAAUUUCGUUAUUAACACCAUCGGAACGUGACGGUACCCUAUAAGAAAGCCCCGGCUAACUUCGUGCCAGCAGCCGCGGUAAUGCGAGGGGGGCUAGCGUUGUCCGGAUUUAUUGGGCGUAAAGAGUUCGUAGGCGGGUCAGUCAGUCGAAAUUGAAAUCCCACGGCUUAACCGUGGACCCGGUUUCGAUACUGCUGAUCUUGAGUGAGACAGAGGUAAGCGGAAUUCCUGGUGUAGCGGUGAAAUGCGUAGAUAUCAGGAGGAACACCGAAGGCGAAGGCAGCUUACUGGGUCUAUACUGACGCUGAGGAACGAAAGCGUGGGGAGCAAACAGGAUUAGAGACCCUGGUAGUCCGCGCUGUAAACGAUGAGUACUUGGUGGUGGGGGAUUCGACCCCUUCACUGUCGGAGCUAACGCGUUAAG
rnacentral:rRNA from 1 species